CCCACGGUCGCGCGCGUUCUCUUGGCGGACCCCUCAGCACAGGUGCGCCAGGCCUAAGGCCCGGUAGUAGCCUCACCCCGAGGAGGGUGCCUCGGUGGCUGGAAAGCCAUGGCUCAUUCCCAAACCGAAGUACCUCUCAUUCCGGGAAAAGAAGAAUUUACCUCGUUUAUCCAGAAGGAUAUUCUCCAUCUGAAAAAAAUCACAGCACCAGGACCAGCUCAGCAGCAAAGAGACGGAUGGAAGCCUCAGCAAAGCAGCCAACAGUGGACCACAGGGAGUACAGCGGGGACCGAACCCAGAACUCUCUGGUCCACAGGCCGGCUCUCCAACUGCUGAGCCAAACCGGACAGGGCAUCACCUAAAACUUAAAGACACAGCAAGAAGGCAGCCAGGAAGAGACCUCACCAGAACCAGAACCUGACCAUGCUGGCACCCUGAUCUUGGACUUCUCAGCCCCCAGAAUUAAGGGAGUCAGUGCAUCUUCCAUCCCACCCAUCCCCCAGCCAAACCAACGGCUUUCCUCAACUCACAGCGGAAGUCGUGGUAGAAUUUGAGUGGGGGCAUGUUCCUCUCUACUGCCACAUUACCCCACGGUAGCCCCAAGUGCAGGAUUUGACGCCGACGGGAGCAAGGCUGACCACUCUGUUCGGUGCCCACAAGUCGACCUAUCAGCCGCCAGUCACGGAUCUCAAACAGGUAACGGGGAUAGUCUCUUAUCCGAAC